UACGAAGGGGGCUAGCGUUAUCCGGAAUUAUUGGGCGUAAAGCGUCCGUAGGUGGUUGGCCAAGUCUGCUGUCAAAGGGUGGGGCUUAACCUCAUAAAGGCAGUGGAAACUGGCGAGCUAGAGUGCGGUAGGGGUAGGGGGAAUUCCCAGUGUAGCGGUGAAAUGCGUAGAGAUUGGGAAGAACAUCGGUGGCGAAAGCGCCCUGCUGGGCCUGCACUGACACUGAGGGACGAAAGCUAGGGGAGUGAAAGGG
rnacentral:rRNA from 1 species